rnacentral:rRNA from 1 species
GUCUAUGGCCAUGCCACUCUGAACAAGCCUGAUAGCUGAUCUUGGAAGCUAAGCUGGGUCGGGCCUAGUUAGUACUUGGAUGGGAGACCACCUAGGAAGACCAGGUGCUGUAGGCA